CCCAACAAGGCAAGAGGCAAGAGGAUUAGAGGAAGGAAGCAGGCACCCGUGGCCGUCGCCCCCAAAGCCGUCGCUCCUAGAUUCGCCCGUGGCCGCCGCCCCCGAAACCGAACCCUAGCUGCCGCCCGCCGGCCGUGCUCCCGACUCCCGCGUCCCGCCGGCAGCCGCUUGCGCCCCCAGUGCUCGGCCGCGCAGGGCACAGCCGCGCAGGGCGCGAGCAGGCACAGCCGCAUGCCGCAGCCGCCUUGCUUCCCCAAGCGCACAGCCGCGCAGCGCAGCGGCGUAGGUACAGGCCGACCGGCCGCCGACAGGAGCAGCCCGCCUUGCGCCCCCAGGCGCACAUCCGCGCAGGCCACAGGGCCGACAGCGACAGGCGCAGGCACAGGGCCACAGGCCGACCGCCGACAGGCGCACGGGCCGCGCAGGGGCAACUUGCGGAGUUCCGCUUCUACGAGGGGCAGGAGAUGCGGAUCAAGGAGAAGAUUGUGCCUCUCAAGAUUGACCUCCGAGUGAACAACACUGUAAUCAGAGACCAGUUCUUUUGGGAUAUUGGCAACCUUGAUAGUGACCCUGAGGAAUUUGUGAGGACGCUAUGUGACGAUUUGAACAUCACAGAUCCUGAAGUUGGGGUAUGCUUUAAAUCAUGAAUUCUUAGUGUUCGGUGUAAUGAACUUCUAAUUCAGCUGAAGCAGCAGCUUUUAUGAUGAGGGUUUCCCAUCUUAGCUGGCCCGUAUUUACACAUUUGCAAUACCCCCAAUUGUCAUACGGGUGCGGUUACUAGAUGAGAAGGGCAUGCAUUAAACUUUGUUGUAAUUGCAAGUCAAGCAAACUGCCACUAUUAUUAUUGCCAAAUCUUUCUAAUUUUCCGUGGAUGUGGAACUCGCGAUUGGCUUAGUCGUAAUUUGCUGUUACAUGAAUAUGAAUAUUUCUUGCACUGCAAUUCUUUUCGUUUAAAUACUUGUGUGCACUACAUCAAAAAGGCAUUUCAAAAGAAGAAAGAUAGGAAUAUGAAAUUGCUGAAGUAUCCUAGACGCAACU